UAGCUUUAUAUUUUGAGUGUCAGAUAUGUUUUCUUCAAAGCAUAUAUCAAAUAAAAAAUUAUAUCCUUAUUGUGCAAUUUGAACAUUGUUUGACACAUUUGCAGUAUAUCGAUAAGAAGGACAAAUGGCUCGUAGUAGCGACAACCCAAAAACCUCUCUUAUUCAUGAUGACAAGCGCAGUAGUUUUUCCGACUGCAUGAAAAGUUUAUGCAAUAACCUGGCCACCUGCAUUGGAUUCAUAGUAGCUGUGGUGUUGUGCUUGCUUCUCUUCAUGUACAUCGACUACUAUUUAAAUGCUGUGAAGAAGCCACUCAAUUAGUAGUUCCUCGUUUUGUAAUUGUUGAGAGUGAUCCAGUUGGACAAUGCAAGCUUAAUAAGGGUUUUCUGGCAGAUACGUAUGAACCACAAAUAAUUAAAUAGAUCAACAAGUUUCAGAUGGUUACUUUACUAAUUGUUCUCAACUCUUAUAAUUAAGGACCACCACAUUUAUUUUUAAUUGG